GUUUAUGGCCAUACCACCCUGAACACGCCUGAUCCUGGAAGCUAAGCAGGGUUGGUCCUCGUCAUUACUUGCAGUCCUGUAAGCU
rnacentral:rRNA from 1 species